AACGAACGCUGGCGGCAUGCCUAACACAUGCAAGUCGAACGAGACCUUCGGGUCUAGUGGCGCACGGGUGUGUAACGCGUGGGAACCUGCCCUUAGGUUCGGAAUAACUCCCCGAAAGGGGUGCUAAUACCGGAUAAUGUCUUCGGACCAAAGAUUUAUCGCCUUUGGAUGGGCCCGCGUUGGAUUAGCUAGUUGGUAGGGUAAAAGCCUACCAAGGCGACGAUCCAUAGCUGGUCUGAGAGGAUGAUCAGCCACACUGGGACUGAGACACGGCCCAGACUCCUACGGGAGGCAGCAGUGGGGAAUAUUGGACAAUGGGCGAAAGCCUGAUCCAGCAAUGCCGCGUGAGUGAUGAAGGCCUUAGGGUUGUAAAGCUCUUUUACCCGGGAUGAUAAUGACAGUACCGGGAGAAUAAGCGCCGGCUAACUCCGUG
rnacentral:rRNA from 1 species